rnacentral:lncRNA from 1 species
GGGGCUGACCUUUGGAGUUUUCUAAGCUAUUUUAAUACCUUCCAUGACCGUUCAGCUCAACGAAGGACCACCAGCUGGCUGCUUGCAUUCGGCUGAACCUUCCAAUAGGCUAUUUGAACUCAUUCAUUCACCAGCAGUGGAGGAAGCUUCAAGGAAAUUUCCAUGGCCUAUUCUAGCAUGUUCUAGCCGAUUCUAAAUGUCCAAUGGGCUGC